UGCUCCGUCCCCCCCCCCCCCCCCCCCAAAUACUAUUAUUAUGGGUCCUUUUGCCUCUACGUCUGCAGAACAAUUUCACAGUGCAUUACAACUUUUUUGCUGUAUUCUCAGCUGUUGGAAGGCAGGUUUUUAUUCUCUGCAUCCGGUGAGCAAAAGAGGAACUUCAGGGACUUCCCUUUUCAUAGCACCGAGACACAGGUUUUGUUGUCGUUAGUUUUGCAAUGAUACAUUAAGCUCUGUGAGGACAAGGAAACAUCUAGUUCCUCUUUUACAGCUGUCGCCUCUCUAGUUAAAAAAAAAAAAAAAGUAUUUGAAUACAUGUUCAGAAAGUGCCACAAUCUCACACCCCGGAGGAUGAAUCUCUCCAAGUCAGGGUGACCAGGUCCGCAGGACGGUGCAAUCAUUCCCCCUCCCUCCAGACGUGGGCACGGUGGGCACGCGCAUAACGCCCCUAGCUGACAGCCACCUCACAAUGUUUCAAGCUACCAGAUACAUCCAGGGAUCAUUUACUAGGUUCACGCCCUUGGGAUGGACGAAUGAAUACUGAUCGGCCUCACCCAAGCAUCUGGGGCUGGGAGGAUGCCUGUUUGUAUGUAUGUAUGUUUGUGUGUAUGAUGUAUGUAUGUAUAAAUAAAUAAAUAAUGUAUAAAUAAAUAAAUAAAUAAAUAAAUAAAUAAAUAAAUAAAAAUAUAAAUAAAACGAAACAGGAGCCAUGCAGGCUGUGCACCAGGUUCAAGGCCACAAUCACCCUCUUGUAAAUACUACAAGCAUCAGGCAUAGCUUUGCGGGGCUCCAGGUCUCGGGAGAAGAGGCGACAACCCGCGGAGGACACAGGUGCGACCCCGGCCGCGCUGACACGAGGGGCCCAACGAGGAGCUGGGGCAGGCGGGGGGCUCCGCGGGGCGGCGAGCUGCAGGAGGCCCCAGCCAACAGCUCAAAGUCCCUCUCACGUGUCUAGGCCUCUCGUCCCACCUCUCCUGGGAGAGCCGCUGGAGCCGGCCCCGGGCUCCCGUGCUCCCCCACGGCCCUGUCUCCACACCCGCGCCCUCCCCAGAGCCUCCUCCCCGCCGGCCCCUUGCACCUCAGCUCGUACGGUCCUCUGCGGAGCUCCGGCUCCGGCUGCACCCGCAAUCGCCGAGAGCCGACUCGGCCGCCGGCUCUUUCCUCUCUUCCCCGCGCUACCACUGAGAGGACGGCGGGCGCCGGCUAGAGAGCCUCAGCCGUACCAUAAAGAGACGCCCAGGAGCGGCCUAGAGCGACCCAAGCCUGGCCGGCCUCCCGGGCGGAAGGGGCGGGGCGGCGUUGAUUGGCGGAAGAGUCCGGGGGAAGCAAUGGCUGCCUCCGACGCUUGCUCCCGGCUUUGCCGUCUGUCCUCCGAGAGACCCAGAGAGAGAGAGAGGCAGAGACACAGAGGAAGAAGCAGGCUCCAUGCUUGA
rnacentral:lncRNA from 1 species